CAAGCGACUAAGUGCAUAUGGUGGAUGCCUUGGCGAUCACAGGCGAUGAAGGACGUAGUAGCCUGCGAAAAGCUGCGGGGAGCUGGCAAACAAGCAUUGAUCCGCAGAUAUCCGAAUGGGGAAACCCACCGCGCAAGCGGUAUCCCUGGCUGAAUACAUAGGCCAGUGGAGGCGAACCGGGUGAACUGAAACAUCUCAGUAGCUCGAGGAAAAGAAAUCAACCGAGAUUCCGAAAGUAGUGGCGAGCGAAAUCGGAAGAGCCUUUACGAUUUAGCAUUUUGCAUAGUCGAACGGAAUGGAAAGUCCGGCCGUAGCAGGUGAUAGCCCUGUAGACGAAAUGCAGAGUGUGGAACUAGGCGUAAGAGAAGUAGGGCGGGACACGUGAAAUCCUGUCUGAAGAUGGGGGGACCAUCCUCCAAGGCUAAAUACUCGUGAUCGACCGAUAGUGAACCAGUACCGUGAGGGAAAGGCGAAAAGAACCCCGGAAGGGGAGUGAAAUAGAUCCUGAAACCGUAUGCAUACAAACAGUCGGAGCCUCUUUAUGGGGUGACGGCGUACCUUUUGUAUAAUGGGUCAGCGACUUACAUUCAGUGGCGAGCUUAACCGAAUAGGGAAGGCGUAGCGAAAGCGAGUCCGAAUAGGGCGUCCAGUCGCUGGGUGUAGACCCGAAACCAGAUGAUCUACCCAUGGCCAGGUUGAAGGCACGGUAACACGUGCUGGAGGACCGAACCCACUAGUGUUGAAAAACUAGGGGAUGAGCUGUGGAUAGGGGUGAAAGGCUAAACAAAUCUGGAAAUAGCUGGUUCUCUCCGAAAACUAUUUAGGUAGUGCCUCAAGUAUUACUGCAGGGGGUAGAGCACUGUUAUGGCUAGGGGGUCAUGGCGACUUACCAAACCAUGGCAAACUCCGAAUACCUGCAAGUACAGCUUGGGAGACAGAGCACCGGGUGCUAACGUCCGGACUCAAGAGGGAAACAACCCAGACCGCCAGCUAAGGUCCCGAAUUAUCGCUAAGUGGGAAACGAAGUGGGAGGCAUAGACAGUCAGGAGGUUGGCUUAGAAGCAGCCACCCUUUAAAGAAAGCGUAAUAGCUCACUGAUCGAGUCGUCCUGCGCGGAAGAUGUAACGGGGCUAAGCGAUAAACCGAAGCUGCGGGUGUGUACUAUGUACACGCGGUAGGAGAGCGUUCUGUAAGCCUGCGAAGGUGGCUUGUGAAGGCUGCUGGAGGUAUCAGAAGUGCGAAUGCUGACAUGAGUAGCGAUAAAGGGGGUGAAAAGCCCCCUCGCCGUAAGUCCAAGGUUUCCUGCGCAACGUUCAUCGGCGCAGGGUGAGUCGGCCCCUAAGGCGAGGCAGAGAUGCGUAGCUGAUGGGAAGCUGGUUAAUAUUCCAGCACCGUCGUACAGUGCGAUGGGGGGACGGAUCGCGGAAGAUCAUCAGGGUGUUGGAUGUCCCUGUUGCUGCAUUGAAGAUGGCGCUUAGGCAAAUCCGGGCGCGUAAAUCAAGGGUGUGGCUCGAGCGAGCAUGUCUCGCGAAGUGAUUGGAAGUGGUUCCAAGAAAAGCCUCUAAGCUUCAGCUGUACGAGACCGUACCGCAAACCGACACAGGUGGACGGGAUGAAUAUUCCAAGGCGCUUGAGAGAACUCGGGAGAAGGAACUCGGCAAAUUAAUACCGUAACUUCGGAGAAAGGUAUGCCCCGGUAGUGUGAGGCGCCUGCGCGCUGAGCAUGAUGGGGUCGCAGAGAAUCGGUGGCUGCGACUGUUUAUUAAAAACACAGCACUCUGCAAAGACGAAAGUCGACGUAUAGGGUGGACGCCUGCCCGGUGCCGGAAGGUUAAGUGAUGGGGUGCAAGCUCUUGAUCGAAGCCCCGGUAAACGGCGGCCGUAACUAUAACGGUCCUAAGGUAGCGAAAUUCCUUGUCGGGUAAGUUCCGACCUGCACGAAUGGCGUAACGAUGGCCACACUGUCUCCUCCCGAGACUCAGCGAAGUUGAAGUGUUUGUGAUGAUGCAAUCUACCCGCGGCUAGACGGAAAGACCCCAUGAACCUUUACUGUAGCUUUGCAUUGGACUGUGAACCGGCCUGUGUAGGAUAGGUGGGAGGCGCUGAGCUCGAGUCGCUAGAUUCGAGGGAGCCGACCUUGAAAUACCCACCCUGGUUUGUUUGCGUUCUAACCUUGGUCCGUUAUCCGGAUCGGGGACAGUGCAUGGUGGGCAGUUUGACUGGGGCGGUCUCCUCCCAAAGUGUAACGGAGGAGCUCGAAGGUACGCUAGGUACGGUCGGAAAUCGUGCUGAU
rnacentral:rRNA from 1 species